rnacentral:rRNA from 1 species
CGGCGCGUCUAAGCAUGCAAGUCGGACGGCAAGGGUUGUGCUUGCACAACUCCUAGAGUGGCGGACUGGUGAGUAACGCGUGGGUGACCUGCCCUCGAGAUGGGGAUAGCCAUUAGAAAUAGUGGAUAAUACCGAAUACGCUCAUGACCCUGUGGGGAUAUGAGGAAAACAGGCUACGGCCUGGCUCGAGGAUGGGCCCGCGUCCCAUUAGCUAGUUGGUGAGGUAACGGCCCACCAAGGCGACGAUGGGUAUCCGGCCUGAGAGGGUGUACGGACACAUUGGGACUGAGAUACGGCCCAAACUCCUACGGGAGGCAGCAGCUAAGAAUAUUCCGCAAUGGACGAAAGUCUGACGGAGCGACGCCCGCGUGGAUGAAGAAGGCCGGAAGGUUGUAAAGUUCUUUUCGGGAGGGGGAACAACCGUGGCAGGGAAUGGCCGCGGGAUGACGUGAAUCCCGGAAUAAGCCCCGGCUAACUACGUGCCAGCAGCAGC